rnacentral:rRNA from 1 species
AAGGCUGAGGCGUGAUGACGAGGCACUACGGUGCUGAAGCAACAAAUGCCCUGCUUCCAGGAAAAGCCUCUAAGCAUCAGGUAACAUCAAAUCGUACCCCAAACCGACACAGGUGGUCAGGUAGAGAAUACCAAGGCGCUUGAGAGAACUCGGGUGAAGGAACUAGGCAAAAUGGUGCCGUAACUUCGGGAGAAGGCACGCUGAUAUGUAGGUGAAGUCCCUCGCGGAUGGAGCUGAAAUCAGUCGAAGAUACCAGCUGGCUGCAACUGUUUAUUAAAAACACAGCACUGUGCAAACACGAAAGUGGACGUAUACGGUGUGACGCCUGCCCGGUGCCGGAAGGUUAAUUGAUGGGGUUAGCCGCAAGNGCUGCAACUGUUUAUUAAAAACACAGCACUGUGCAAACACGAAAGUGGACGUAUACGGUGUGACGCCUGCCCGGUGCCGGAAGGUUAAUUGAUGGGGUUAGCGCAANAGUCGAAGAUACCAGCUGGCUGCAACUGUUUAUUAAAAACACAGCACUGUGCAAACACGAAAGUGGACGUAUACGGUGUGACGCCUGCCCGGUGCCGGAAGGUUAAUUGAUGGGGUUAGCCGCAAGGCGAAGCUCUUGAUCGAAGCCCCGGUAAACGGCGGCCGUAACUAUAACGGUCCUAAGGUAGCGAAAUUCCUUGUCGGGUAAGUUCCGACCUGCACGAAUGGCGUAAUGAUGGCCAGGCUGUCUCCACCCGAGACUCAGUGAAAUUGAACUCGCUGUGAAGAUGCAGUGUACCCGCGGCAAGACGGAAAGACCCCGUGAACCUUUACUAUAGCUUGACACUGAACAUUGAGCCUUGAUGUGUAGGAUAGGUGGGAGGCUUUGAAGUGUGGACGCCAGUCUGCAUGGAGCCGACCUUGAAAUACCACCCUUUAAUGUUUGAUGUUCUAACGUUGACCCGUAAUCCGGGUUGCGGACAGUGUCUGGUGGGUAGUUUGACUGGGGCGGUCUCCUCCUAAAGAGUAACGGAGGAGCACGAAGGUUGGCUAAUCCUGGUCGGACAUCAGGAGGUUAGUGCAAUGGCAUAAGCCAGCUUGACUGCGAGCGUGACGGCGCGAGCAGGUGCGAAAGCAGGUCAUAGUGAUCCGGUGGUUCUGAAUGGAAGGGCCAUCGCUCAACGGAUAAAAGGUACUCCGGGGAUAACAGGCUGAUACCGCCCAAGAGUUCAUAUCGACGGCGGUGUUUGGCACCUCGAUGUCGGCUCAUCACAUCCUGGGGCUGAAGUAGGUCCCAAGGGUAUGGCUGUUCGCCAUUUAAAGUGGUACGCGAGCUGGGUUUAGAACGUCGUGAGACAGUUCGGUCCCUAUCUGCCGUGGGCGCUGGAGAACUGAGGGGGGCUGCUCCUAGUACGAGAGGACCGGAGUGGACGCAUCACUGGUGUUCGGGUUGUCAUGCCAAUGGCACUGCCCGGUAGCUAAAUGCGGAAGAGAUAAGUGCUGAAAGCAUCUAAGCACGAAACUUGCCCCGAGAUGAGUUCUCCCUGACUCCUUGA